rnacentral:rRNA from 1 species
AGAUUGAACGCUGGCGGCAGGCCUAACACAUGCAAGUCGAGCGGCAGCACGGGUACUUGUACCUGGUGGCGAGCGGCGGACGGGUGAGUAAUGCCUAGGAAUCUGCCUGGUAGUGGGGGAUAACGCUCGGAAACGGACGCUAAUACCGCAUACGUCCUACGGGAGAAAGCAGGGGACCUUCGGGCCUUGCGCUAUCAGAUGAGCCUAGGUCGGAUUAGCUAGUUGGUGAGGUAAUGGCUCACCAAGGCGACGAUCCGUAACUGGCCUGAGAGGAUGAUCAGUCACACUGGAACUGAGACACGGUCCAGACUCCUACGGGAGCAGCAGUGGGGAAUAGUUGGACAAUGGGACGAAAGCCUGAUCCAGCCAUGCCGCGUGUGUGAAGAAGGUCUUCGGAUUAGUAAAACACGUUUUAAGUUGGGAGGAAGGCAGUUACCUAAUACGUAUCUGUUUUAGACGUUACGACAGAAUAAGCACCGGCUAACUCUGUGCCAGCACG